AUGGACAUGGAGGUCGCAUGGUUCCUCCUGCCCCUCCUCGCCCUCUUCAUCGCUCUCCUCGUCCGCUUGGUAGCGGUGCACCACGGCGCCUCUAAGCCCAAGAUCCCGCCGGGCCCGAUCGCCGUGCCGCUGCUCGGCAGCCUGCUGUUGCUGCGCAACUCCCUAGUCGACGCGGAGCACCUCCUCCGGCGCCUCGUCGCGCGGCACGGGCCCGUCGUCUCACUGCGCGUCGGCUCCCGCCUCUCCAUCUUCGUGGCGGACCGGCGAGUGGCCCAUGCUCUCCUUGUGGAGCGCGGCGCCGCGCUGGCCGACCGCCCGUACCUCGUCAUCAACAGCGGAUGCACCGUCUCGGGCGCCAGCUACGGGCCCGCCUGGCGCCUCCUGCGCCGCCACCUCGUCUCCGAGACGCUGCACCCGUCUCGUGCCCGCCUCUUCGCGCCCGCGCGCGCCUGGGCGCGCCGCGUGCUCCUGGACAAGCUCCGGGAGCGGGAGCCCGGCCCCGACGGCGGCGGGGUCUUGGUCAUGGACGCGUUCCGGCACGCCAUGUUCUUCCUCCUUGCGCUCAUGUGCUUCGGAGAGAAACUCGACGAGGCCGCCGUGCGGGCGGUCGGCGCCGCGCAGCGCGACUGGCUCAUGUUCGCCGCGCGGAAGACGAGCGUCUUUGCCUUCUUUCCGGCCAUCACCAAGCGUCUCUUCCGCGGGCGUCUCAAGACGGCCCUGGCCUUGCGGCGGCGGCAGAAGGAGAUCUUCCUGCCGCUGAUUGACGCGCGGAGGGAGCGCAAGAAGCAGCAGAUGCAGAUCAAGCCAGUGCCAACGGAGGAGGACACGACGCUGGAGCACUCGUACGUGGACACCCUGCUCGACAUCAAGCUGCCCGGCGAGGCGGAGUCCUCGCGUGCGCUCACCGACGACGAGAUGGUCAGCCUGUGCUCCGAGUUCCUCAACGCCGGCACGGACACGACGUCCACCGCGCUGGAGUGGAUCAUGGCGGAGCUGACCAAGAACCCGCGCGUCCAAGAAAAGCUCUACCACGAGAUCACCAAAGCGCAGCAGCAGAGAGGAGACGGAGACGAUGAGGAGGUCAGCGAGGAGGAGACGCACGGCAUGCCGUACCUGAAGGCCGUGGUCCUGGAGGGGCUGCGCAAGCACCCGCCGGGGCACUUCGUGCUGCCGCACAGGGCGGCGGAGGAUAUGGAGGUGGGCGGGUACCUGAUCCCCAAGGGCGCUUCGGUGAACUUCAUGGUGGCCGAGAUGGGCAGGGACGAGCGGGAGUGGGAGAGGCCGAUGGAGUUCGUGCCCGAGAGGUUCCUGCCGGGCGGCGACGGCGAGGGGGUGGACGUGACCGGCAGCAGGGAGAUCAGGAUGAUGCCGUUCGGCGUGGGGAGGAGGAUCUGCGCGGGGCUCGGCGUCGCCAUGCUUCACCUCGAGUACCUGGUGGCCAAGCUGGUCAAGGAAUUCGAGUGGCAGGAGGUUGCAGGCGACGAGGUGGACUUGACCGAGAAGCCGGAGUUCACCGUCGUCAUGGCCAAGCCGCUACGCGCGCGGCUGCUGCCCAGAACCAGAUAA
rnacentral:rRNA from 1 species